AGUGAACGCUGGCGGUAGGCCUAACACAUGCAAGUCGAACGGCAGCACAGUAAGAGCUUGCUCUUACGGGUGGCGAGUGGCGGACGGGUGAGGAAUACAUCGGAAUCUACUUUUUCGUGGGGGAUAACGUAGGGAAACUUACGCUAAUACCGCAUACGACCUACGGGUGAAAGCAGGGGAUCUUCGGACCUUGCGCGAUUGAAUGAGCCGAUGUCGGAUUAGCUAGUUGGCGGGGGAAAGGCCCACCAAGGCGACGAUCCGUAGCUCGUCUGAGAGGAUGAUCAGCCGCACUGGAACUGGGACACGGUCCCGGCUCCUGCGGGAGGGAGCAGUGGGGAAUAUUGGGCAAUGGGGGGGAACCUGGUCCAGCCAUACCGCGUGGGUGAAGAAGGCCUUCGGGUUGUAAAGCCCUUUUGUUGGGAAAGAAAAGCAGCAGGUUAAUACCCCGCUGUUCUGACGGUACCCAAAGAAUAAGCACCGGCUAACUUCGUG
rnacentral:rRNA from 1 species